rnacentral:rRNA from 1 species
UCUCCUACGGGAGGCAGCAGUGGGGAAUAUUGCACAAUGGGGGAAACCCUGAUGCAGCCAUGCCGCGUGUAUGAAGAAGGCCUUCGGGUUGUAAAGUACUUUCGGUAAUGAGGAAGGUGGUGUAUCUAAUAGGUGCAUCAAUUGACGUUAAUUACAGAG